UACAGAGGUCCCAAGCGUUGUUCGGAUUCACUGGGCGUAAAGGGUGCGUAGGUGGUGAGGUAAGUUUGAUGUGAAAGCUCCGGGCUUAACCCGGAAAUGGCAUUGAAUACUAUCUCGCUUGAGGGUUGGAGGGGAGACUGGAAUUCUUGGUGUAGCAGUGAAAUGCGUAGAUAUCAAGAGGAACACCAGUGGCGAAGGCGAGUCUCUGGACAACUCCUGACACUGAGGCACGAAAGCUAGGGGAGCAAACAGG
rnacentral:rRNA from 1 species